rnacentral:rRNA from 1 species
CCUUUUUUUUUCCCUCUUUUUUCGGAAUUACUGGGCGUAAAGGGCGCGUAGGCGGUUGGAUAAGUCAGCUGUGAAAACCACGGGCUUAACUCGCGGCCUGCAGUUGAGACUGUCUGGCUUGAGUGUGGGAGAGGAGAGUGGAAUUCCUGGUGUAGCGGUGAAAUGCGUAGAUAUCUGGAGGAACACCGGUGGCGAAGGCGGCAUCCUGGACCAACACUGACACUGAGGAGCGAAAGCCAGGGGAGCAAACGGGA